GCGCAGCAGGCGAGAAUACUUUACAAUGUGCGAAAGCACGAUAAGGGAACUCUGAGUGCCUCCUAAGGAGGCUGUUCAGGUGUCUAAAAAGCACCUGGAGUAAGGGCUGGGUAAGACCGGUGCCAGCCGCCGCGGUAACACCGGCAGCCCAGGUGGUAGCCACUUUUAUUGGGUCUAAAGCGUCCGUAGCCGGUUGAGUAAGUUCCUUGGGAAAUUUGGCUGCUCAACAGUCAAGCUUCCAGGGAAUACUGCUCGACUUGGGACUGGGAGAGGUCAGAGGUACUCCAGGGGUAGGGGUGAAAUCCAUUAAUCCCUGGGGGACCACCGGUAGCGAAGGCGUCUGACCAGACCAGGUCCGACGGUGAGGGACGAAGGCUAGGGGCGCGAACCGGAUUAGAUACCCCCGUAGU
rnacentral:rRNA from 1 species